AAAAAUAUAAUCUAUAUAAGAUAUAUCAUUUACAUUGAUAAUAAGUGUUUUCUAUUUUUA
rnacentral:tRNA from 1 species